rnacentral:siRNA from 1 species
CGGUUUUGAGUGCGGUGUAUGUCA